ACAAGUGGAGAGAAUAAAGUGAUACAUAUAUUUUACAUGUAUUAAUUAUUUUUGUUGAUUUUGUUUCUCAGUUUAACUGAAAUUGCUAUGAGGAAAUCAGAAAAUGAGGGAGACUUUGCCUGUCAGGAAAGAAAGGAAUAGGUCUAGAUUUGGGUGAGACAAAGGAACCAUGGGGGAAGAUGUGGAAUGCCGAAAUUGGGGAAAAAAGAGAAAUAAAGAAUUCUGCGGAUUGCUGUGCUCCUUGCCACUGUUACCAUAGAUUCUGUUGUUUAAAAGUUGUCUGCUAUUGGACUUAAUGUUCAGCACCCCCUCUAGUGAGAUGACUUCUUACUGUUAGAGACCACCCACCUUCCUUCCCAUGCAAGUGUCCAAGCUGGAAGAAUUAGACAGUUGACUCUAGACCCUGGAUAUCUGUGUAUCCGAAUUGUACUUCAAGGUGUCAACAUAGAGAAAAAGAGGAGAGAAGUUAAUAGAAUUGUCUUGAUGAUUUAGGUCAAGACUAAUGACAAAAUUUUUAUGGUGAUGGCACUGUGCCAGAUGCCUGAUAUAUGGACAUUUUUAAAAGAGAAGUAUGGUCUAGUACAAGGUCAACAAACUUUUUCUGCCCAGGACCAGAUUUUGCAAAUCAAGAGAGUGUUUCAUGGUGAUCCUGGGACAAUAGCAUUGGACAUCACUUGA
rnacentral:lncRNA from 1 species